rnacentral:tRNA from 1 species
GAGGUUGUGGCUCAGUGGUAGAGCACUCGCCUAGCAUGCACGAUGCACUGGGUUCGAUCCUCAGCACCACA